rnacentral:ncRNA from 21 species
GGGUUGCCAUAACUCCGAGCUUAACUUGCUAAGUUAUUUUAUUUCAAUGAUGGAAUGAUAAGCAGCUUAAGCCAGUGACAUGAUGUCACAAGGGCGUAAUUGGAAAUGACUACGCCUCCCGUGUUUGGAAAGGUGUUCCGUGGCGCAACAA